rnacentral:rRNA from 1 species
GAUGAACGCUGGCGGCGUGCCUAAUACAUGCAAGUCGAGCGAACAGACGAGGAGCUUGCUCCUCUGACGUUAGCGGCGGACGGGUGAGUAACACGUGGAUAACCUACCUAUAAGACUGGGAUAACUUCGGGAAACCGGAGCUAAUACCGGAUAAUAUAUUGAACCGCAUGGUUCAAUAGUGAAAGACGGUUUUGCUGUCACUUAUAGAUGGAUCCGCGCCUCAUUAGCUAGUUGGUAAGGUAACGGCUUACCAAGGCAACGAUGCGUAGCCGACCUGAGAGGUGGAUCGGCCACACUGGAACUGAGACACGGUCCAGACUCCUACGGGAGGCAGCAGUAGGGAAUCUUCCGCAAUGGGCGAAAGCUUGACGGAGCAACGCCGCGUGAGUGAUGAAGGUCUUCGGAUCGUAAAACUCUGUUAUUAGGGAAGAACAAAUGUGUAAGUAACUAUGCACGUCUUGACGGUACCUAAUCAGAAAGCCACGGCUAACUACGUG